UCCCCUCCCAGAUCCAUAUAUAUGUCCAAACGCGUGUGUAUAACUGAGACACCAAAAGACCUUCUUCCUCGUACCUACCUUCACCGGUGUAACACCACCCCUCAACCACCAUAACUCUGUCGUCCACUACCCUAACGUCGCCGCGGGAAAUAGCCUCAAGACGGAGGCCGGCCACCAAAUGGCAACAAAUUUACACUACCGAACCCUCGCAGCCUCCUCUUUCCCAUCCGACCAUCAGAUCGCCUCAAAUAUCUC
rnacentral:lncRNA from 1 species